CGGCUACAGGCAGACGUGCUCACUUUAAGGAGGCUUCUUACGUAUUUCUAUUCUAGAGAAGAGAUGCUCAGCUACCGGCAGGUCUGCAUGCUUUAAGGAGGCUUCUUACCUGUUUCUGCUCUAGAGGAGAGGUGCUCAGCUGCAGGCAGGCAUGUGUACUUUAAGGAGGCUUCUUAAGUGUUUCUAUUCUAGAGGAGAGGUGCUCAGCUGCAGACAGGCAUGUGCGCUUUAAGAAGGCUUCUUGUUCUUAAAGCUCUUUCUAGGUGCUGCAGGCAGCUGUGCCCACACUUUCUCUCCCAGGCCUGCACCACACACUCUUUCCAAGGCAUUUUAAGGAGGCUUUCCACUUCCAGAAGCAGAUUGAAGAGACCAUACCUCAAAAGGAGCACUCUUCAGUUCGGUCUGAGGCACAAGCAGCAAAGUUAGACACAAACUUAAAGAACUAUUUGCCUGCACAGAACCAGAGGAGUGGAAGGACAGCAUGGACUGAGCAUUAGAACAUCCAGCCAGCCAGAUACUGAGUAGGGACCAUCACUCAUUGAACCUUUUCAUUAGCCACCCCAAGACUGGGAAUGCUGGAAGAGCUUCAACAAUUUAAAUCGUCUGUCAAAAUUCAAGGCACCUGUCUCUUCUGGCAAGUCUACUCAGUCAGUUUUAAUUUGUGAAUUUGAAUCUGAAUUUUAUUUGUGUGGUCUUUUGUGUAUUAUGUUAUAUGUAUUUUAAUAGGAUUGGGUUUUAUUGCUCUGUUUGAAUUCUGUUGUACCUUGCCUUGAGCCGAAAGGAGAGGCAGGCAGGCCGGCCCAUACCCAAAAAAAAAAAAAAUUGGGAGGGGUUGAAACUGUUUUUCCAAGAUGGCUUUCAGGUCAGUGUCUCCUGGAGAUCUCAACAUUAGUAUCAUUGUACAAAGGUUCUUCACAGGUAAUAGAUCCUGAAUCAUUGCUUCCUCUUUAAGUCAGUUCUUGUAGUUUAGUUUCCACAACUGGCAGAAGUUUCUUUCUGUUUUCUUCUGCUUUCUUCUUAUUUCCUUUAUUAUGAUGAUGGGUUACCUCAAAACGUUUCCCACUGUGAAUUAACAAGAAGUUUUCAGCCAAGCACACGCUGUUCUGAUGGUACUCUGUUUUUUGGUGUCUAUUGAAGACUUGUACUGCAUCUUUUCAUCACACAAAUUGUUUAGCAACCAAUGCACCAAGUUUCUGAUGAACACUUUUACCCCCAACUUCUCCUCCAAACACCACACCGUACUUACAGAGUGCACCUUGUACAUGACAUGAGUAGGCUAACCAGGGAAAUCUUGGAAGAAAAAUACAUGGGGCUACUGUUACUAAGCUUAACACUACUCACAAAGAAUAUGUGUAUCCCUCAUUUUGUUUAAAGACUGACCCAACCCAGCCUGGCUUGAUAAAAACUUACUCUAUUGGGUCUACUCUCAUUUUCCUUGGGUUCGAGCCUAGCUUUAACUGUUUGACAUUGCCAUGUUCUGUUUAAGGAGCGGGAAACUUUGGUCCUGUCUGCAGUUUAAUUAGAGCUCAACGAAUUUGCACUUCCUGAAUUGAUAGGCAAAGUAGAAUGCAGUAAUGUUUUAAUGGCCACACUUAUCGGAAUGUUACGAGGAAAUUCACUGAAGAAAGGAUAUGUACAAACAUGUAUAUUAGGGGAAAGUACUUUUUAAAAAUGUGUAUUUGUUGUGGGGUGGGCGUGGAGCACAUAUAUUAUAGCAGUGCGUAAGGAAAAAUAUCUUGCUGUUAAUAUGUGUUUCGGACAAAAAUAUGUAUAUUAGACAGUAAGUGCAAAAAGAUUUUACUCAAGCAUUAGUAAAACCACAAACUCAUGACCAAAUGGAAUGGAAUGGACCAAAGAAUGGGAAAAUGAUAAACAGGGAGAAACUAAUACUGACAGAUUUCUUUCUGGUGUGCUGUUCACUUAAAUCAUAGGCUGCAGUACUUACUGUAUAUAUUCGAGUAUAAGCCUAGUUUUUCAGCCCUUUUUUUAAGACUGAAAAAGUCCCAGGUGAGGGACCUGGUUGGCUUAUAUUUGGGUCAGCUUAUACUCGAGAAUAUAUGGUACAUUUAUUAUUUUUCUCAAUUAUUAUUGGUAUUAUUACAUUUAUUAUUUUUCUCUAUUAUUGUUGCUACUAUUACAUUUAUUUUACUCUAUUUUUUAUUAUUAGUAAUACAUUUAUUAUUUCACUCUGAUCUUAUUAUUAUUAUUACAUUUAUCAUUUUACUCUAUUUAUUAUUACAUGUAUUAUUUUCCUGUAUCAAUUAUUAUUAUUAAUAUUAUUACAUGUAUUAUUUUACUCUAUUAUUAUUAAAAGGAUACAUAAACACAUUUAAACUGAAGAAGAUGAGAAUAAUGAUUUAAUCAGAGUUGGACAGUGUUAUCUUAAAUUUGAACUUUAUGUAAAUAUUCAAAAACAUUUAACCUACUGAUGCCUCAAUUAAUGUAAUGUUAUUGGUAUCUAUUUUUAUUUCCAAAAUUUACCACUCUCGGCUUAUACUUGAGUCAAUGUUUUCCCAGUUUUUUUAUGGUAAAAUUAGGUGCCUCGGCUUAUAUUCCACAAAUUAUGUUGAAUUGGUCUAGACUGUGAGAUAUUCAUUGAAAAACUAUAGCAAAAUGUGCUGCAGAAUGUACCACAUAAACAAAGUAUUUGCACUUUAAUAAACAUUUUUCCAUGUUUUUAAUAUAAUCAAUUACGAAAUGACAUUUAUAACCCAGGAGCAAAAAUCGUGUUACGUAAUAUAAUGUUCUGAUCUUUGCUAAUCAAAGUAACAGGGAGCUUCAAUACAGUGAGUACUGACAAAUACACCACAAUUCUUAGCUACCGUGUUCCCCCCAAAAUAAGACAGUGUCUUAUAUUAAUUUUUGCUCCCAAACAUGUGCUAGGUCUUAUUUUUAGAGGAUGCCUUAUUUUUCCAUGAAGAAAAAUUCAUAUUUAUUAUGUACUGUACAGUAGUUGUCAUUACAAACCAGCAUAACCACACAAACUAUGAAUCCUAUCAAGAAUUUCUUGUUACUACCAUUAUUGCCAUGUACAACACUCUAUGGUAAGUACAUUUACCGAUCUUGCAUGCUCUGGUGUUCUGUUUGGUGGGCAUGCUUCCAAACAAAAACUUUGCUAGGUCUUACUUUCAAGGGAGGCCUUAUAUUUAGCAAUUCAGCAAAACUUCUACUAGAUCUUAUUUUCAGGGGGUGUCUUAUUUUUAGGGAAACAGGGUAUACCUUAGUCUGGCUGUUCCCUGGGUGCACCUACAUUGUAGAAUUAAUGCACUUUGACACGAUUUGAUUGUUAUGUGAUCUUGUGAUUUGUAGUUUGGUGAGGCGCCAGCACUCUUUGGCAAAAAAAGAAGGAAGACCUUGAAAAACUAAAACUCCCAUGAUUCCAUAGCAUUGAGCCAUGGCAGUUAAACUGGUCUCAAACUGCAUCAAAUCUGCAAUGUGGCUGCACCACCACCCGUCUCCAGCACUAAACAGUACGCACCAUAGAUAAAGGUAAAGGUUUUCCCCUGACAUUAAAUCCAGUUAUGUCCAACUCUGGGGGUUGGUGCUCAUCUCCAUUUCUAAGCCGAAGAGCCGGCGUUGUCCGAAGACACCUCCAAGGUCAUGUGGCUGGCAUGACUGCAUGGAGCGCUGUUACCUUCCCGCCGGAAUGGUACCUAUUGAUCUACUCACAUUUGCAUGUUUCCAAACUGCUAGGUUGGCAGAAAUUGGGGCUAACAGCAGGCGCUCAGCCCGCUCCACAGAUUCGAACCGCCAACCUUUCGGUCAGCAGGUUCAGCAGCUCAGCAGUUUAACCCACUUCACCAUCAGGGGCUUCCACUACGCACCAUACAAUCAUAGAAUCAUAAAGUUGGAAGAGACCUCGUGCCCCAUCCAGUCCAACCCCCUGCCAAGUAGCAGGAAAAUCGCAUUCAAAGCACCCCCGUCAGAUGGCCAUCCAUCCUCUGUUAAAUGCCUCUAAAGAAGUAGCCUCCACCACACUCCGGGGCAGAGAGUUUCACUUCUGAACAGCUCUCACAGUGAGGAAGUUCUUCCUAAUGUUCAGGUGGACCAUGUUCACCAAUCUUAUACCUUUUCCCUUAUUCUUCCAGGUGUCAUAUACAUAUUUCCAAACUAUUCCCCUUAGGUCCCAAGGUCAGAUACAGUCAAAGUGAAUAACUUUGGUCUUUGCUGUCCUUUGUUCUGUUUCACCAAAAUCAUAUUUGCUUCCCCCACUAGAUUAGCCUAUUGUGUUGCUCCUAUCUUGUAAUGAUGCAAAUCUCUGUGCGUUUUCUUUUCCUUGACAUUUAUUGCCUCCUUCUUUUUUAUGACUGAAACUGUUCUGAACUUUUUUUUUUAAUGUCAGGAGCAACUUGAGAAACUACAAGUCGCUUCUGGUGUGAGAAAAUUGUCUGUCUGCAAGGACAUUGCCCAGGGGUUGCCUGCAUGUUUUGAUGUUUUUACCAUCCUUGUGGGAGGCUUCUCUCAUAUCUUCGCUUGGGAAGCUAGAGCUGACAGAGGGAGCUCAUCCACACUCUCCCCAGGUUGGAUUCGAACUGGCAACCUUUAGGUCAGCAACCCAACCUUCAGGUUAGCAGUCCUGCCAGCACAAGGGUUUAACCCACUGCACCACUGGGGGCUCCUUUGUUCUGAACUUGAUAGAUGCUGAUAGUCUUAUGCUAUGCUGCAUUCACUCAUUUUCUAAUAAACUAGUCCCAAAUAUU